AACCACUUAGCUUAUUUUCACUUAAAGCUGUUAUUUUGAAAAUAUCCUAAAGAUUAGACUCUAGUGGUUU
rnacentral:tRNA from 1 species